UACGUAGGGUGCAAGCGUUAAUCGGAAUUACUGGGCGUAAAGCGUGCGCAGGCGGUUUUGUAAGUCUGACGUGAAAUCCCCGGGCUCAACCUGGGAAUUGCGUUGGAGACUGCAAGGCUAGAAUCUGGCAGAGGGGGGUAGAAUUCCACGUGUAGCAGUGAAAUGCGUAGAGAUGUGGAGGAACACCGAUGGCGAAGGCAGCCCCCUGGGUCGAGAUUGACGCUCAUGCACGAAAGCGUGGGGAGCAAACAGG
rnacentral:rRNA from 1 species